UCCGAAUUGGUGUAGUGGCUAACAUUUGACGCUCUCAUUAAGAUUCCAAGAAUCUGAAUGAAGUACCGUCAAGCCCGGGGUUCGAUUCCCCGAUUCGGAG